AAAGCUUUAAGUUAACUAAACUGCUGGCCUUCAAAGCCGGGAAUAAGAGAAUCUUAAGCUUUA
rnacentral:tRNA from 1 species